GGCGGACGGGUGAGUAACGCGUAAAGAACUUGCCCUUUAGACUGGGAUAACAGAGGGAAACUUCUGAUAAUACUGGAUAAGUUAGUAUAUCGUAUGAUAUGCAAAUGAAAGCUACGGCACUAAAGGAGAGCUUUGCGUCCUAUUAGCUAGUUGGUAAGGUAAGAGCUUACCAAGGCGAUGAUAGGUAGCCCGGCCUGAGAGGGUGGACGGCCACAAGGGGACUGAGAUACGGCCCUUACUCCUAAGGGAGGCAGCAGCC
rnacentral:rRNA from 1 species